rnacentral:rRNA from 1 species
UGGCAGUCAGAGGCGAUGAAGGACGUGCUAAUCUGCGAAAAGCGCCGGCGAGGUGAUAUGAACCUUUGACCCGGCGAUGUCCGAAUGGGGAAACCCAGUGCAAUCCGUUGCACUAUCGUUAACUGAAUACAUAGGUUAACGAGGCGAACCGGGGGAACUGAAACAUCUAAGUACCCCGAGGAAAAGAAAUCAACCGAGAUUCCCCCAGUAGCGGCGAGCGAACGGGGAGCAGCCCGGAGUCUGAAUCAGCUUGUGUGUUAGUGGAACGGUCUGGAAAGUCCGACGGUACAGGGUGAUAGUCCCGUACACGAAAGCACACUUGCUGUGAACUCGAAGAGUAGGGCGGGACACGUGGUAUCCUGUCUGAAUAUGGGGGGACCAUCCUCCAAGGCUAAAUACUCCUGACUGACCGAUAGUGAACCAGUACCGUGAGGGAAAGGCGAAAAGAACCCCGGCGAGGGGAGUGAAAAAGAACCUGAAACCGUGUACGUACAAGCAGUGGGAGCCUCUUUAUGGGGUGACUGCGUACCUUUUGUAUAAUGGGUCAGCGACUUAUAUUCUGUAGCAAGGUUAACCGUAUAGGGGAGCCGAAGGGAAACCGAGUCUUAACUGGGCGUUAAGUUGCAGGGUAUAGACCCGAAACCCGGUGAUCUAGCCAUGGGCAGGUUGAAGGUUGGGUAACACUAACUGGAGGACCGAACCGACUAAUGUUGAAAAAUUAGCGGAUGACCUGUGGCUGGGGGUGAAAGGCCAAUCAAACCGGGAGAUAGCUGGUUCUCCCCGAAAGCUAUUUAGGUAGCGCCUCGUGAACUCAUCUUCGGGGGUAGAGCACUGUUUCGGCUAGGGGGCCAUCCCGGCUUACCAACCCGAUGCAAACUACGAAUACCGAAGAAUGUUAUCACGGGAGACACACGGCGGGUGCUAACGUCCGUCGUGAAGAGGGAAACAACCCAGACCGCCAGCUAAGGUCCCAAAGUCAUGGUUAAGUGGGAAACGAUGUGGGAAGGCACAGACAGCCAGGAUGUUGGCUUAGAAGCAGCCAUCAUUUAAAGAAAGCGUAAUAGCUCACUGGUCGAGUCGGCCUGCGCGGAAGAUGUAACGGGGCUAAACCAUGCACCGAAGCUGCGGCAGCGACGCUUAUGCGUUGUUGGGUAGGGGAGCGUUCUGUAAGCCGUUGAAGGUGUGCUGUGAGGCAUGCUGGAGGUAUCAGAAGUGCGAAUGCUGACAUAAGUAACGAUAAAGCGGGUGAAAAGCCCGCUCGCCGGAAGACCAAGGGUUCCUGUCCAACGUUAAUCGGGGCAGGGUGAGUCGACCCCUAAGGCGAGGCCGAAAGGCGUAGUCGAUGGGAAACAGGUUAAUAUUCCUGUACUUGGUGUUACUGCGAAGGGGGGACGGAGAAGGCUAUGUCAGCCGGGCGACGGUUGUCCCGGUUUAAGCAUGUAGGCGGAGGUUCCAGGUAAAUCCGGUACCUUAUUAACGCUGAGGUGUGAUGACGAGGCACUACGGUGCUGAAGUGAUAAAUGCCCUGCUUCCAGGAAAAGCCUCUAAGCAUCAGGUAACACGAAAUCGUACCCCAAACCGACACAGGUGGUCAGGUAGAGAAUACCAAGGCGCUUGAGAGAACUCGGGUGAAGGAACUAGGCAAAAUGGUGCCGUAACUUCGGGAGAAGGCACGCUGAUAUGUAGGUGAAGUCCCUGCGGACGGAGCUGAAAUCAGUCGAAGAUACCAGCUGGCUGCAACUGUUUAUUAAAAACACAGCACUGUGCAAACACGAAAGUGGACGUAUACGGUGUGACGCCUGCCCGGUGCCGGAAGGUUAAUUGAUGGGGUUAGCGGCAACGCGAAGCUCUUGAUCGAAGCCCCGGUAAACGGCGGCCGUAACUAUAACGGUCCUAAGGUAGCGAAAUUCCUUGUCGGGUAAGUUCCGACCUGCACGAAUGGCGUAAUGAUGGCCAGGCUGUCUCCACCCGAGACUCAGUGAAAUUGAACUCGCUGUGAAGAUGCAGUGUACCCGCGGCAAGACGGAAAGACCCCGUGAACCUUUACUAUAGCUUGACACUGAACACUGGUCCUUGAUGUGUAGGAUAGGUGGGAGGCUUUGAAGCGUGGACGCCAGUCUGCGUGGAGCCAACCUUGAAAUACCACCCUUUAAUGGCUGGUGUUCUAACGUAGACCCGUAAUCCGGGUUGCGGACAGUGUCUGGUGGGUAGUUUGACUGGGGCGGUCUCCUCCCAAAGAGUAACGGAGGAGCACGAAGGUUGGCUAAUCCUGGUCGGACAUCAGGAGGUUAGUGCAAUGGCAUAAGCCAGCUUGACUGCGAGCGUGACGGCGCGAGCAGGUGCGAAAGCAGGUCAUAGUGAUCCGGUGGUUCUGAAUGGAAGGGCCAUCGCUCAACGGAUAAAAGGUACUCCGGGGAUAACAGGCUGAUACCGCCCAAGAGUUCAUAUCGACGGCGGUGUUUGGCACCUCGAUGUCGGCUCAUCACAUCCUGGGGCUGAAGUAGGUCCCAAGGGUAUGGCUGUUCGCCAUUUAAAGUGGUACGCGAGCUGGGUUUAGAACGUCGUGAGACAGUUCGGUCCCUAUCUGCCGUGGGCGCUGGAGAAUUGAGGGGGGCUGCUCCUAGUACGAGAGGACCGGAGUGGACGCAUCACUGGUGUUCGGGUUGUCAUGCCAAUGGCACUGCCCGGUAGCUAAAUGCGGAAGAGAUAAGUGCUGAAAGCAUCUAAGCACGAAACUUGCCCCGAGAUGAGUUCUCCCUGAGACUUUAAGUCUCCUGAAGGAACGUUGAAGACGACGACGUUGAUAGGUCGGGUGUGUAAGCGCAGCGAUGCGUUGAGCUAACCGAUACUAAUGAACCGUGAGGCUUAACCUU